GUGAGUGAGGGUGAUCUGGCUGUGACAUCUGUCACCCCAUUGAUUGCCAGGGUUGAUUUGGCUGAUCUGGCUGUCUAGGCUGGUGUCCCCUUCCUCCCUCACCACUCCAUGUGCGUCCCUCCCAAGCUGUGUGCUCAGUCGAAGAGGACAGCCUUCCCGAUAUAGAGACAGAUCAGUCUUUGGUCAAGGGUAUACAAGUAGCUGUGCUCCCCCACUAGAACCUCCAAACAAGCUCUCAAGCAAUAAAGAGAUAGUUAACAAAAGAGAAAAAUCUGGCC
ensembl:misc_RNA 7SK 7SK RNA